AUACCAAAGGAUUGGUGGAUCAAGACUUCACCCUCCUAUUUGAUCAUGAAACAUCCUCCAGGCCCCUUCAGAAAUGGGAUUCUUCAGUCCAAAUGUCAUAAAAGAGGCUAAGUGGCUUACUUCAACACCCAGAGUUGCGUCGCUUGUUGCAGAGAGUCCCACAGGAAGUGAUCUUGAUGAGACAACAAUCAUGCUGCAGUUUGGAGGAGCAUCUCCGCAACCAGCAGGGUCGGCAGCCAUACCUCCUCGCUGUUGGGCGUCAGAAGAGCAAGAUUGACAGCUUCUACAUCACCAUGGAUAAGCAUCUCAUCCCACGGCAGGCAAACCG